UGCCUGUAAUCCCAGAGCCGGGUGUGAUAGUACACACCUAUAAUUCCAGUAUUGGGGAGGCUGAGGCAGGAGGAU
rnacentral:miRNA from 1 species